UCUCUGACUCACACAGGCCAGCCCGCUGUGCCUGUGCCUUGCAGCUCGGUUCAGCUCUCCUCCAGGAAGCCUUUCAGGAUCUCUGCCACCAGGCUCCUUCACAGUGUGUUACCUGUGCCUGUCAUCCCUCGCAAGAGCCAAGUCCCCUGAGAGGAGGGCUUCCUGUGGCCAGCUGGAGUCCAGCAUCACUUACCUGAUUCUCACAGCAUGACCCAGGAGUGUCAGUAUCACCUAAGAUGUUAAAAAUGAGACUUUUCAGGUCCCACCAUACACCAGCUUCACCAGGAACAGGGUGGAGCCUCUCAGGUGAUUCUGAAUGGGCUCACAUUUGCAAACGAUUACAGUAUAGGCUGCCUGCAACCAACCCUCUUCCCAUCUGCUUGGCCUUCUGUCAUCUGUGACUUCGUCUUGCUUGUCUCU